rnacentral:rRNA from 1 species
UACGUAGGGAGCAAGCGUUGUCCGGAAUCAUUGGGCGUAAAGCGCGCGUAGGUGGCCAUGUAAGUCCGUUGUGAAAGUCAAAGGCUCAACCUUUGAAAGCCGAUGGAUACUGCAUGGCUAGAGUACGGAAGAGGCGAGUGGAAUUCCUGGUGUAGCGGUGGAAUGCGCAGAUAUCAGGAGGAACACCAAUAGCGAAGGCAGCUCGCUGGGACGUUACUGACACUGAGGCGCGAAAGCGUGGGGAGCGAACAGG